AUAUUUUGAUAUGGUCUCUCCCAAUCCAGCCAUUCCUCAGACCAGGUGGCUCCUGAGCCACCCCAGACUGUAGGAUGGGCGUGAAAGGUGCUAGAGAGUCACAAAACUGA
ensembl:miRNA